CGAUUGGAGGUCUUUUACAAGGGGUUCUUAGCAAAACUGAAAAAAAAAUAAAUCAAAAAGUCCAAAAUAAAGAAGAACCGCCGCCUAAAUUGGGUUUUUUAGAAAUGGUAAGAAGCCCUAACGUGGCGCCUUGUGAUUGGAAAACCCUCCCCCGUCAGUUGCUCUCUCUCUCUCCUUCGCCGCUCGACUUCUCCGUCUUCGCAUGCAAAGCUCGUUUUCUCUCUAGAAUCUCGUCUCCAGUCUCGUUUCUCUCUCGAAUCUCGUCUCCAAUCUCGUUUACUCUCUCGAAUCUCGUCUCAAAUCUCGUUUCUCUCGAAUCUCGUCUCGGACCUCGUCUCGAUCUCCUUAUCGGUAAGAAAUCAUUCUUUUGAUUUGAUCUUUAUGUUACUGCUGUUUGUGAUCCUCUGUUCUCUGUUCGUGGUCCUCUGUUCUUGUCUUCUUUCUCCUGAGGUUUGUGAUAAAGAUCACAAGAGAGAAGCUUCAAGAGAAGAAGAUGAAGAAGAAGCGAGAUAAGUUCGAACAUCCCUUUCUCCUGCUGUCUCGAUUUUGGUUUAUGAUGUCGAUGAAAACUGAUGUAGAUUACUAGUAGAGUUUUGUUUGACUGUUGAAAAGAUUGAAUAUUUUGCAUAGAAACAGAGUCGGUUGGUUUGUUAUAAGAAGUGUUGAUGAUGAAUUGGUUAAGGGAAUGAUUAGCUGAUCUUGAAGUCGGUUGUGAAGAAAAUCUCUGGAAGGAAGUGGGGUUUUUGCAGUGGACAAGCUUGUAUCUCUGUAGAUUACGCUCUUGUAGAACAGAGUUUUACGUCUUCUCUGAUUGAAACUUUGAAGCCGAUGAUAAGGUCUUUCUUCGGGGAAAACCCUAAAGAAUCUGGAUGUCUCUCUAGGAUUGUUACCAAGAAACAUUUUCAGAGAUUGGCUCGUCUUCUUAAUGAUCCUGGUGUUCAAGCUUCAAUCGUUUAUGGUGGCUCCACCAUUUUUCUCUGAGUGUAAAAGAAUUUGUCUUUCCUUUUGGCAAGCACCAUUUCUCUCCGAUUGUAAAAGCAAAACUUGUGUUUCCUUUUGUGUAAUCAUUUGUCUUAAAGCAAAUACCAUUUCUCUUAUCA